UGAACUGCCGUUGACAAAACGGAGGAAGGUGGGGAUGACGUCAAAUCAUCAUGCCCUUUAUGUCCUGGGCUACACACGUGCUACAAUGGCCUGUACAGAGGGAAGCGAAAGGGUGACCUGGAGCGAAUCCCAAAAAGCAGGUCUCAGUUCGGAUUGCAGGCUGCAACCCGCCUGCAUGAAGUCGGAAUCGCUAGUAAUCGCAGGUCAGCAUACUGUGGUGAAUACGUUCCCGGGCCUU
rnacentral:rRNA from 1 species